rnacentral:tRNA from 2 species
GCCGGACUAGCUCAGUUGGUAGAGCGCCGCACUCGUAACGCGGAAGUCGUCGGUUCAAAUCCGUCGUUCGGCUCCA